AUAGAAAAAGUGAAUAAAGGGCGCAACAAUUUUAUUCCGAGGUACAACGAGCGACACUGGAGAAUCCUUUAGAAAUUGUCAUCCUUGAAUCGGCAAAUUUGAAAAUCAUUAGAUUUUCACGCCUAAGGUCACACUUUGGAAAUACGUUCAACGAAUUACAACAGUUACGUCAGAUUCGAUUAUACCGAGCAUUCGUAGGAGUUUCGUUUCGUCUACACCGACAGUCCAGCAUCAUGGACCACAGAUAACAUAGAGAGAGAGCAAGCUCAAUUGGUAAACCCUGAAUAUUACGAAAUACGAUCAUUGAAUAAAGUGGCUUGCUAAACCGGAAGAAAAAGUAUGAGAGAUUCUGUCAAUGAUUUCUCUGCCAAUAAAUCUUGCUCGCGCGAGUAUUCGCCAAGUUAACGUAAUUUUUUAUACGCUGCAAUCGGUAGCUUACAAACUGUCGAUCCUGCAUAUAAUAUUCGUGGGUCUUUGUCAAGGACUAUGCAAAAAUUCCCCAUUUACUACAAGUGACAGCUACGUUUGGAUCGUCACGAUGUUAAAAUCAACAAUGUAAUAGCUACGUACAACGACAGAUUCUUUAUGACUAUUGUAUCUCCGAGUGUGACAUUUUAAUGUCGUAGACUCAAAACCCCCAAUGGAUCGUUAAGGGACGACGAGAGACUUCUGUACCCGUCACAAGUUAACAGCACCGACUCGUUCGUGUCUUAUCAAAGUAUCUUUGUGAUAACUCUCGAAAACUAAAGCGAUACAAGAUUGCAAUAAUGACAGAUGGUACGAAUGAAAUUUGAAAAAAAAGUUCCUGCUAUCGAGCAGAACUCUAGCACUGACUUACUGUAUAUGUGAAUUACGCAUAUGCUAGCACAGUAUACACUGGCGGUAAAAACACUUGAUCAAAUUGAUCAUCUUGAUCAGCAAAUGAUUGGGAGUAUCGAUUAUUUCUUGGAUACGAUAAAAAAAAAGUACAAGCCCGAGUUUUUCUCCAAUAUCAAAUUUAAUUCGUACAACUGUUUUGAAUUGAAAUUGGGUCGAAGUAGGUAAAUUUACAUUUUUCAAAUAUUCAAGAAUACAUAUUGGAUCAGCGACGCGCCGACAGGAUAAUUUAUUUAUUUAAAUAAUAAUUUAUCUAAGGAUCGUGCAUCGCGCGAACCCUUCCCUUUCUUCGUGAAGAUGCCGAAGGACGUGGCUCCGCUUGUGUCGUGUCACGUGGUCGGAGAUAUCCUCAGGAGAUAGAAGUUUAAAGGAUACUAAGAGAGAGAGAGAGGGGCGAGAGGGAGAAAGAGAUUUGGACAUACGUAUCUCCUUUUCCAAAGAAUUCAAUGACGUUUGCUUUACUUUGACACUUGAUAAAAGGAACGACCAUGAAUCUACGUUCUCAGAUUACUUCGGAGCUGGAGGCUUUUAUAGUUUAAUAUUGUAAAAAAAAUAUCGUCUACGUUCAUUUAAACGUAUUCAAUGUUUUUCACGUUAUUCCUGUUUAUCCACUUUGUUUAGUUACUUGCUCUGAUCACACAGAGGCCUUAGAGGAUGAUGCAAGGGAAGGAGAUUGGAAAAAGAAAAUAAAUAAUGUGCACCAAUCCGAAGAACUGGAGUAUGUAAAACUUGGAUAUAUAUAUAUAUAUAUAUGCACAGCAGCCACAGAGAAAGCCCCUCCUAUCGGAUAUUUUCGGACUCGAGUAA